rnacentral:rRNA from 1 species
AGGGGGCACAAUCUUUAUUCUUUUUUUUUUGAAGACUGGUGAAAAAUGUUUGAUGGGUUUUGGGUGUCUCACGUCUUUGGGGCAAUUUAUUUCUAAAAUAAAUGAUUUUUAAUAUUUUAAUUGGAUUAAUUAAGAUCCACUAAUUGUGAUAUUUAUAAUAAAUUACCAUAGGGAUAACAUUGCAAUGUUUUUUGAAAUUUUAUAUUGACAAAAAUGUUUGCAACCUCUAUGUUGGAUUAAGGAGUCCAAUUGGUGCAAUAAUUGAUAAAGAAGGUCUGUUCGACCUUUAAAUCCUUACAUGAUUUGAGUUCAGACCGGUUGAGAGUUCAUAUUGACAAAAAUGUUUGCGACCUCGAUGUUGGAUUAAGGAGUCUUAUUGGUGCAGUAGUUGAUAAAGAAGGUCUGUUCCACCUUUA